rnacentral:pre_miRNA from 1 species
AGUCAUGUCUGGUAGCCAAGGAUGACUUGCCUAAGCUAAAACCAUUCGAGGGACUUAAUGUAGUGAAUAUUUAAUUUUGCAGUAGAAUUCACAAAAUCACAUUGAGUCGUCGUGAUUUUGCAAAAGCUACUGUAUAUAUUCUAAAUUAAGUUCCUUUUUGGUUUAUUAGCAGGCAAGCAACCAUGGCUGUUUGACUGUCUCU